CCUGUUGCCCGACUAGUUAUCCUUUCACCUUUUAAAGCCGAUACCCAGAAUUGAUUUGUGAUUUAUUGAUUCAAAUAUACUAUUUGAAGGGGCGGCUGUUAAAUCCCAAAUUCUCACCUCACCAUCUCCAUACCUGACUCCCCUGUCACUCAAGGCCAAACCACACCCCCAACACCAUAAAAGCCAGUCCUCAGGCCUGCUCUCCCUUUUGCAGCCUGAACAAGAGCAGCACUGAACAAAGGGAAUCUGACUGUGAGUGUGAAACGGACAAAGCCUUAACAAAUGUUGUUGUAUUCUCCUUAUUUGUAUUAUUUCUAAUAUGGUUUAUUCUCAAAUAUUAUUUCUUUAGAUUCCUGUCACCCUAAAACGCAUAUGUAUUGAUUUAAAACCCCGAAGUGGAUGCAUCUAUGAUGUAAGAUUAGUUAACCAAUUUACAAUUCAUUUGACUUUAUCAGUCCCCCCUUUUUUGUAAUAUUUUAUGUUGAUACAUCUUGUUUCUAUUCCUUUUGAUUGUACAGAAAAAAUCAUCCACUGAAGACGAGCAAAUAAACCGUCAAACUGAAUCCUGGAUCCUGUGUUUUAAUGUGCACUCAAUAUAGGAUGUUCGAUGAGCAAGCAUCAGCAACAUCAUAAUCUUUUACAUACAUACUAAACACGUUGGCCCAAUUCGGACACACUAGACGAGCGGUGGGGAAAGACGACCCCCGCAGGCAGAGAGUAGGUACUGCGCCCGUGCAGACAGUGGUAACUGAAGCCCCUCAUCUGCGGGCCUGGCUGUAGUACUGCAGCUGUGCAGUUUAAUGAUGGAAUAAGUGAGCUUUACCUCCACGAUGUCGCCACAUAUUUGCUCAUAAAAUGAUUACUUGGGCAAAUAUGACACCAUGACAUGACAAAGAGAUACAACCGCACAUUUUUUAGGACA